rnacentral:rRNA from 1 species
GAUGAACGCUGGCGGCGUGCUUAACACAUGCAAGUCGAACGGAAAGGCCCAAGCUUGCUUGGGUACUCGAGUGGCGAACGGGUGAGUAACACGUGGGUGAUCUGCCCUGCACUUCGGGAUAAGCCUGGGAAACUGGGUCUAAUACCGGAUAGGACCACAUUUUGGAUGGUGUGGUGGAAAGUUUUUCGGUGUGGGAUGAGCUCGCGGCCUAUCAGCUUGUUGGUGGGGUAAUGGCCUACCAAGGCGUCGACGGGUAGCCGGCCUGAGAGGGUGUACGGCCACAUUGGGACUGAGAUACGGCCCAGACUCCUACGGGAGGUAGCAGUGGGGAAUAUUGCACAAUGGGCGCAAGCCUGAUGCAGCGACGCCGCGUGGGGGAUGACGGCCUUCGGGUUGUAAACUCCUUUCGCUAGGGACGAAGCGUUUUUGUGACGGUACCUGGAGAAGAAGCACCGGCUAACUACGUG